ACGCUGGCGGCGUGCCUAAUACAUGCAAGUAGAACGCUGAAGGAGGAGCUUGCUCUUCUGGAUGAGUUGCGAACGGGUGAGUAACGCGUAGGUAACCUGCCUGGUAGCGGGGGAUAACUAUUGGAAACGAUAGCUAAUACCGCAUAAGAGUAGAUGUUGCAUGACAUCUGCUUAAAAGGUGCAAUUGCACCACUACCAGAUGGACCUGCGUUGUAUUAGCUAGUUGGUGGGGUAACGGCUCACCAAGGCGACGAUACAUAGCCGACCUGAGAGGGUGAUCGGCCACACUGGGACUGAGACACGGCCCAGACUCCUACGGGAGGCAGCAGUAGGGAAUCUUCGGCAAUGGACGGAAGUUUGACCGAGCAACGCCGCGUGAGUGAAGAAGGUUUUCGGAUCGUAAAGCUCUGUUGUAAGAGAAGAACGAGUGUGAGAGUGGAAAGUUCACACUGUGACGGUAUCUUACCAGAAAGGGACGGCUAACUACGUGCCAGCAGCCGCGGUAAUACGUAGGUCCCGAGCGUUGUCCGGAUUUAUUGGGCGUAAAGCGAGCGCAGGCGGUUAGAUAAGUCUGAAGUUAAAGGCUGUGGCUUAACCAUAGUACGCUUUGGAAACUGUUUAACUUGAGUGCAAGAGGGGAGAGCGGAAUUCCAUGUGUAGCGGUGAAAUGCGUAGAUAUAUGGAGGAACACCGGUGGCGAAAGCGGCUCUCUGGCUUGUAACUGACGCUGAGGCUCGAAAGCGUGGGGAGCAAACAGGAUUAGACACCCUGGUAGUCCACGCCGUAAACGAUGAGUGCUAGGUGUUAGACCCUUUUCCGGGGUUUAGUGCCGUAGCUAACGCAUUAAGCACUCCGCCUGGGGAGUACGACCGCAAGGUUGAAACUCAAAGGAAUUGACGGGGGCCCGCAC
rnacentral:rRNA from 1 species